rnacentral:rRNA from 1 species
GUGAUGAAGGUUUUCGGAUCGUAAAACUCUGUUGUUAGGGAAGAACAAGUACCGUUCGAAUAGGGCGGCACCUUGACGGUACCUAACCAGAAAGCCACGGCUAACUACGUGCCAGCAGCCGCGGUAAUACGUAGGUGGCAAGCGUUGUCCGGAAUUAUUGGGCGUAAAGCGCGCGCAGGCGGUUUCUUAAGUCUGAUGUGAAAGCCCCCGGCUCAACCGGGGAGGGUCAUUGGAAACUGGGGAACUUGAGUGCAGAAGAGGAGAGUGGAAUUCCACGUGUAGCGGUGAAAUGCGUAGAGAUGUGGAGGAACACCAGUGGCGAAGGCGACUCUCUGGUCUGUAACUGACGCUGAGGCGCGAAAGCGUGGGGAGCGAACAGGAUUAGAUACCCUGGUAGUCCACGCCGUAAACGAUGAGUGCUAAGUGUUAGAGGGUUUCCGCCCUUUAGUGCUGCAGCAAACGCAUUAAGCACUCCGCCUGGGGAGUACGGUCGCAAGACUGAAACUCAAAGGAAUUGACGGGGGCCCGCACAAGCGGUGGAGCAUGUGGUUUAAUUCGAAGCAACGCGAAGAACCUUACCAGGUCUUGACAUCCUCUGACAACCCUAGAGAUAGGGCUUCCCCUUCGGGGGCAGAGUGACAGGUGGUGCAUGGUGUCC